rnacentral:tRNA from 1 species
UCCUUGGUAUCUGGUUCGGUAAAGAAUCUGCCUGCAGUGCAGGGGGCCUGGGUUUGAUCCCUGGGUAGGGAA